rnacentral:lncRNA from 1 species
UACCUCAUCCCUCCUCUCCAUCUAAUUUGGUCCGAGCUCCAAUUCCUACCACCUCCUCUUUCAUGACCUCAUCCUCUUUCUAAACCUCGUCGAUGUCCUUGUUGCUCCUCUUCAUCCUUUCUCUCCAUUAGACCUAGUCCUAAGCCCCACACAAGCCCCGCCCACUUCCACCACCUUUUCUUCCAGAAACAUCUUCUCUUCAUCCUUUCUAAACUCAGCCAUUGUUCUCAUCUCUUCUCUCCAUCUAAUCUGGUCACGAGCCCAUCGCACUCCUAUCACCUCUUCCUCUUCCAACACCUCCUCCUCUUCUUCUCUAAACCCUACAACUAUUUUCAUCUAUCCUCUCUAUCCCUCUUCUUUAUCCAACACAAUCCUAAUCUCUACCCACUCCCCUUCUCAUACCUCCUCCCCAUCGGCCCCAACCUUAUCAUCUCCUUCACCUCUUUUUUCUCCUAUAUCACCGACCUCUUCGUCGUCGCUAUCGUAGCCGUAUUGCUACAUUCGACCCUAUCUAUGGCAUCUCUUAUACCACCCUUCCCAUCACUGUCAUCUUCUCUAUGUCCUAUUCUAUACCCUUGGUCAUACGCUACACGAAGAUCAAGAGCCGAAGCCCUGGCUUCAACCCUACUACCUUCGUCUAC